GCCCGCGAAGCUCAGCGCUGGUUAGAGCGUCGUGCUAAUAACGCGAAGGUCGCGGGUUCGAUCCCCUCACGGGCA